UCCCGUGAUCAGACAAAUAUUGCUAUCCUUGUCUCCUUUCUAACCGGCAUGCAUCGCACGCAUAGAACGCGUGAGCGACCGCGUCACCGGUAACAUCUUGACAAGCUAUAGCAAACCGGUAUUUAUUACGCCCCUUAUGUGACCGCCGCCGCGCGCCGCCACCGGUGAAGUUGGGGUUAGUAUUUUGCAUGUUUUGUUUGAUCAUUUGUUUACAGUUUAGUGCAAACUAUGGUCACGAUCGGUGUUAUUGUUGGUUGUUAAAAUAUUGUGAGUGCUCUAUAUGCAAAUGAAUAUUCAAGAUGUUAUAUUCUAAAAGAUAUUAGUGGAUGCAGAUAAGAGUGUUUAGUGAGUGCUAUGUUUGAAAAUUGCAAAUGAAAACACAGCCUAUCGAUGUAAUGCGCCGAUAAACUAUCAUGACUGCAUUGAUGUAAUGCGCUAAAAAACUGCAAUGGCUCCGAAUACAUGAUUACCAGAUAACAAAUCCUAGCGCAGCUUACGUGUGUUCUUCAAUAACGUCGCAAGCAACAGUGGCUGUUCAUAAUUUUUGCAAGUUCUACACCUACAGGAUUCCGUUAUCUGGGCAUUAUAGAUACCCUAUUAUCACCUACGAAGUUAUUUAGGUAUAUUUAUUAAAUCCAUUAUACAAGGUGUUGCAAAAAGGGUAUACUAAGCCGAAUGCUACAUGUGCAGCAUGGUAUAUCUAAGCCUGAAACUGAAAUCAGAAUUUAAAUA